UACGUAGGGUGCGAGCGUUAAUCGGAAUUACUGGGCGUAAAGCGUGCGCAGGCGGUUUUGUAAGCCAGGUGUGAAAUCCCCGGGCUCAACCUGGGAAUGGCAUUUGGGACUGCAAGGCUGGAGUGCGGCAGAGGAGACUGGAAUUCCUGGUGUAGCAGUGAAAUGCGUAGAUAUCAGGAGGAACACCGAGUGGCGAAGGCAGGUCUCUGGGCUGACACUGACGCUCAUGCACGAAAGCGUGGGGAGCAAACAGG
rnacentral:rRNA from 1 species